rnacentral:ncRNA from 1 species
CAAUAGUAAUUCAACCUAGUACGAGAGGAACCCUUGAUUCACACAAUUGGCCAUCGCACUUGGUUUAAACGCCAAUGGCGCGAAGCUACCGUGUGCUCCAUUAUGACUGAACGCCUCAAAGUCAUAAUCUGGGCUAGAAGUGACGCUUGCGCCAGCCGUCCGCUUGCCGGCCCGCAGUAGGGGCCUAUGGCCCCCAAGGGAACGUGUCGUUGGCUAAGUCACCGCAAUGGAGCGUCGCAGUGACCACCUUGAAGUACAAUUUCCAUUGAGUGGCGGGUAAAAUCCUUUGUAGAGGACUUAAAUAUUCGACGGGGUAUUGUAAGUGGCAGAGUGACCUUGCUACCACGAUGCACUGAGAUUCAGCCCUUUGUCGUUCCGAUUCGU